rnacentral:rRNA from 1 species
UGGGGAAUAUUGCACAAUGGGCGCAAGCCUGAUGCAGCCAUGCCGCGUGUGUGAAGAAGGCCUUCGGGUUGUAAAGCACUUUCAGCGGGGAGGAAGGCGGUGAGGUUAAUAACCUCAUCGAUUGACGUUACCCGCAGAAGAAGCACCGGCUAACUCCGUGCCAGCAGCAGCGGUAAUACGGAGGGUGCAAGCGUUAAUCGGAAUUACUGGGCGUAAAGCGCACGCAGGCGGUUUGUUAAGUCAGAUGUGAAAUCCCCGGGCUCAACCUGGGAACUGCAUUCGAAACUGGCAGGCUAGAGUCUUGUAGAGGGGGGUAGAAUUCCAGGUGUAGCGGUGAAAUGCGUAGAGAUCUGGAGGAAUACCGGUGGCGAAGGCGGCCCCCUGGACAAAGACUGACGCUCAGGUGCGAAAGCGUGGGGAGCAAACAGG